AAUCGGCUUAGUCGAAUAAAGUUCUAGAUAGAAUAGUGAUUAUGACAAUUUUCUAUCUAAAUGUCUUGACCAAGUCACGUGCCAGCAGUCGCGGUAAUACGUGGAAGACUAGUGUUAUUCAUCUUUAAUAGGUUUAAAGGGUACCUAGACGGUAUUUCUAGCCCCAAAAGGGUACGGAUUUACUAGAGUUUUAUGUGAGAGGCAAAUAUUAGUACUAUUGGUGUAGAGAUGAAAUUCUUUGAUACUACUAGGACUGGUGGCGGCGAAAGCAACCCUCUAAGUAUAAACUGACGUUGAGGGACGAAGGCUUGGGUAGCGAAUAGGAUUAGAUACCCUAGUAGUCCAGGCAGAAAAUUAUGAGUGCCAUAGACUAGAUUAAAUAAUUUUGGUCUAUAAAUGAAAGUGUAAGCAUUCCACCUCAAGAGUAAUGUGGCAACGCAGGAACUGAAAUCAUUAGACCGUUUCUGAAACCAGUAGUGAAGUAUGUUAUUUAAUUCGAUAACCCUCGAAAAACCUUACCACAAUUUGAAUGUAAUACAUGAAAUAGUCUAAUAAUUGUAUAGUCAACAAUUCUAUGACAUGAAGUAGUCUAAUAAUUGUCUACUCAACUAUUUCAUGUAUUAACACAAGCGUUGCACGGCUGUCUUCAGUUAAUGUCGUGAGAACUUGGUUAGAUCCAUUAAAUUAACGUAAUCCCUUUCGUUAGUUCUCUGAACUAAUGAAGUUCNCCGCUAUAU
rnacentral:rRNA from 1 species